AGCCGCUUAGCUCAGGGGUAGAGCGCCUGUUUUACACGCAGGGCGUCGGGAGUUCAAAUCUCUCAGUGGCUACCA
rnacentral:tRNA from 1 species